CCUACGGGAGGCAGCAGUGAGGAAUAUUGGUCAAUGGACGAGAGUCUGAACCAGCCAAGUAGCGUGAAGGAUGACUGCCCUAUGGGUUGUAAACUUCUUUUAUAUGGGAAUAAAACAGGGUAUGCAUACCCUCUUGUAUGUACCAUAUGAAUAAGGAUCGGCUAACUCCGUGCCAGCAGCCGCGGUAAUACGGAGGAUCCGAGCGUUAUCCGGAUUUAUUGGGUUUAAAGGGAGCGUAGGUGGAUUGUUAAGUCAGUUGUGAAAGUUUGCGGCUCAACCGUAAAAUUGCAGUUGAAACUGGCAGGCUUGAGGACAGUAGAGGUGGGCGGAAGGCGUGGUGUAGCGGUGAAAUGCUUAGAUAUCACGAAGAACUCCGAUUGCGAAGGCAGCUCACUGGACUGCAACUGACACUGAUGCUCGAAAGUGUGGGUAUCAAACAGGAUUAGAUACCCCGGUAGUC
rnacentral:rRNA from 1 species